CUCCUCUCUGGUUCACACCUGGAGAGUUUCCAGCACUCUACCAGCCUUGACUAUUGGAGGGACAGUUAAGCAGAGGCAUACCCAUUCCAUUCCUAGCUUGGCCAGUGGCUAGCGAGUGGAAGGUAAUCUACUAUAAAU